UCGCAAGUCAUGCUCUUCAUUGCGUGAAGCAGCCGAGCACAAGUGCACAAAAAGAAUAAAGGUGCGGAGAUGAAGAGCUCACUUUUCCUAAUCCGUGGAGUUCAUUUCUCCUAAUUCGUGAGCUACACUGGGGGUUCACUCGCGUAUCCUUGACAGUCCAGCGGGCUUCAAAUCGCUCUCUACAGCUCCAUCUUUAGGCUGUGAGGAAGUUGUAAAUAAUUGCUUGCUCUAGACCAAUCAGGAAAACUCAACAACACACGUGCUGGAGAUUGUUGGUGGAUUAUUUCUCAACGACGCCUUAGUGGCAGUUGGAUAGCACAGGGUUAAAAAAAUCCAGGAGGAUUCUACUUGAGUCCAGUAUUGUGGCUCGGCUAUACGGAGCAACAAUUCACUUCUCAGGCAACAACACUUCGCUUCCCAGGCAACAACAGCUUGCUUCCCACAGAGUAGCAGUUUGCCCCGGUACA